UUGCUCCCUUCCUCAGCACAGAUAUUGAAAUUGGAGUAACACAGAAAAAUUGCCACUGGCACUGUGCAAGGAUAACACGGAAACUCAUGGAAUGUUCCAUAUUUUU